rnacentral:rRNA from 1 species
CUAAGUGGCGGACGGGUGAGUAAUGUAUAGUUAAUCUGCCCUUUAGAGGGGGAUAACAGUUGGAAACGACUGCUAAUACCCCAUACUCCUUUUACAUUAAUUGUAAUUGGGAGACGUUUUUUCGCUAAAGGAUGAGACUAUAUGGUAUCAGGUAGUUGGUGGGGUAAGAGCCCACCAAGCCAAUGACGCCUAGCUGGUCUGAGAGGAUGAUCAGCCACACUGGAACUGAGACACGGUCCAG